AGAGUUUGAUCCUGGCUCAGGAUGAACGCUAGCGGCAGGCUUAACACAUGCAAGUCGAGGGGCAGCAUGUCCAGCAAUGGAUGAUGGCGACCGGCGGAAGGGUGCGUAACGCGUGAGCAACAUGCCCUAUACAGGGAGAUACACCAGGGAAACUUGGUCUAAUAUCCCAUAGCAUUCAUUGAAGGCAUCUUUAAUGAAUUAAAGCUUCGGUGGUAUAGGAUUGGCUCGCGUGACAUUAGCCAGAUGGUGAGGUAACGGCUCACCAUAGCAAUGAUGUCUAGGGGUUUUGAGAGGAAGGCCCCCCACACUGGGACUGAGACUCGGCCCAGACUCCUACGGGAGGCAGCAGUGAGGAAUAUUGGACAAUGGAUGGAAAUCUGAUCCAGCCAUGCCGCGUGCAGGAAGACGGCCUUAUGGGUUGUAAACUGCUUUUAUACGGGAGCAAUAAGGGUUACGAGUAAUCCGAUGAGAGUACUGUAUGAAUAAGGAUCGGCUAACUCCGUGCCAGCAGCCGCGGUAAUACGGAGGAUCCGAGCGUUAUCCGGAAUUAUUGGGUUUAAAGGGUGCGUAGGCGGCCAUUUAAGUCAGCGGUGAAAUUUUGCAGCUUAACUGUAACAGUGCCGUCGAUACUGUUUGGCUAGGAUUUGGUUGUAGUGUGCGGAAUGUGUGGUGUAGCGGUGAAAUGCUUAGAUAUCACACAGAACACCGAUUGCGAAGGCAGCACACUAAGUCAUUAUUGACGCUGAGGCACGAAAGUGUGGGGAUCAAACAGGAUUAGAUACCCUGGUAGUCCACACUGUAAACGAUGAUAACUCGCUGUCGGCGAUACACAGUCGGGGCCAAGCGAAAGC
rnacentral:rRNA from 1 species